CUAGACUCCUCAGGACAUUUGGUGGCAGAUGAUUGGCCUGGAUCAAUGUGCUGGUGGAUCUACACACCCAAUGGACUCUGAGCAGGCUUUGUAGGAGGCAGAAGAGCAAAGCAUGCAUCCUCAACAACUCAACUUAGAGCCCGUCCUGCCUAUCCUAAAAAUGCCCAGGAAACAUCAGCUCAUUGCUGGUAGGUCAUCCACUUACUGAGCAAGUGACACCCUAACUCAUGUAUGUAAAUAUCCAGGGCCUAGAAUCACCAAAUCCUAGAGUUGCAGGGACUUCAAAAUGCAUGCCAGAGAUUGUCUCCUGUGUUACCCCUGUGUUGUCAGAGGCAACCCGGUAACACCCAGCUGGAACCCGCCUGAGUCUAGCCCCUCACCGAGCUCAUGUUAUACAGCCCUCUCACUAUGAGGCCCGGACAGGCAGGCCCAUGCACCAAAGGACGUUGGCUUAGAUGCUAAUAUUUUAGGGCUUAGAGUCCACAAAAGAACAUCAAAAGUGUUUUGUA